GAUGAACGCUGGCGGCGUGCCUAAUACAUGCAAGUCGAGCGAACAGACGAGAGUGCUUGCACUCUCUGACGUUAGCGGCGGACGGGUGAGUAACACGUGGGUAACCUACCUAUAAGACUGGGAUAACUUCGGGAAACCGGAGCUAAUACCGGAUAAUAUUUAGCUUCGCAUGAAGCAAUAGUGAAAGACGGUUCUGCUGUCACUUAUAGAUGGACCCGCGGUGUAUUAGCUAGUUGGUGAGGUAACGGCUCACCAAGGCAACGAUACAUAGCCGACCUGAGAGGAUGAUCGGCCACACUGGGACUGAGACACGGCCCAGACUCCUACGGGAGGCAGCAGUAGGGAAUCUUCCGCAAUGGACGAAAGUCUGACGGAGCAAUGCCGCGUGAGUGAAGAAGGUUUUCGGAUCGUAAAACUCUGUUGUAAGGGAAGAACAAGUACGUUAGUAACUGAACGUACCUUGACGGUACCUUACCAGAAAGCCACGGCUAACUACGUG
rnacentral:rRNA from 1 species